rnacentral:rRNA from 1 species
CCUACGGGAGGCAGCAGUGGGGAAUUUUGGACAAUGGGGGCAACCCUGAUCCAGCCAUUCCGCGUGAGUGAAGAAGGCCUUCGGGUUGUAAAGCUCUUUCGCAAGGGAAGAAAACUUAUGAUCGAAUAAAUCAUGAGGUUGACGGUACCUUGAUAAGAAGCACCGGCUAACUACGUGCCAGCAGCCGCGGUAAUACGUAGGGUGCGAGCGUUAAUCGGAAUUACUGGGCGUAAAGCGUGCGCAGGCGGUUUUGUAAGUCGGAUGUGAAAUCCCCGGGCUCAACCUGGGAACUGCGUUCGAAACUGCAAGGCUAGAGUGUGUCAGAGGGGGGUAGAAUUCCACGUGUAGCAGUGAAAUGCGUAGAGAUGUGGAGGAAUACCAAUGGCGAAGGCAGCCCCCUGGGAUAACACUGACGCUCAUGCACGAAAGCGUGGGGAGCAAACAGGAUUAGAUACCCUGGUAGUCCACGCCCUAAACGAUGUCAACUAGUUGUUGGUAGAGUAAAAUCUAUGAGUAACGUAGCUAACGCGUGAAGUUGACCGCCUGGGGGAGGUACGGUCGCGAAGUAAGUUAAACGUUAAAGGUUAAAGUUAGUUACGGUUCGUGAGACGNGCCGACGGACGACGACGAGGGAGGAGG